AGCUCCAAUAGCGUAUACUAAAGUUGUUGCGGUUAAAAAGCUCGUAGUUGGAUCUUGGAGUGUGAACGCGCGGUCACUUGAAAGAGCGUACUGUGCGGCGCACUCUUCUCUUCGGUUGCGCGUGUAUGUGCUCUUAACUGAGUGCAUCACUCGACCGGAAAUUUUACCUUGAAAAAAUUAGAGUGUUCAAAGCAGGCCUGUUUCGCCUGUAUAUUCGUGCAUGGAAUAAUAAAAUAUGAAUUCGGUUCUAUUUUAUUGGGUUUCGGAACUCGAGUUAAUGAUUAAGAGGGACAGACGGGGGCAUCCGUACUCUGCCGUUAGAGGUGAAAUUCUUGGAUCGGCGGAAGACGCGCAACUGCGAAAGCAUUUGCCAAGAAUGUUUUCU
rnacentral:rRNA from 1 species